GAUGAACGCUGGCGGCGUGCCUAAUACAUGCAAGUCGAGCGAACGGACGAGAAGCUUGCUUCUCUGAUGUUAGCGGCGGACGGGUGAGUAACACGUGGAUAACCUACCUAUAAGACUGGGAUAACUUCGGGAAACCGUAGCUAAUACCGGAUAAUAUUUUGAACCGCAUGGUUCAAAAGUGAAAGACGGUCUUGCUGUCACUUAUAGAUGGAUCCGCGCUGCAUUAGCUAGUUGCUAAGGUAACGGCUUACCAAGGCAACGAUGCAUAGCCGACCUGAGAGGGUGAUCGGCCACACUGGAACUGAGACACGGUCCAGACUCCUACGGGAGGCAGCAGUAGGGAAUCUUCCGCAAUGGGCGAAAGCCUGACGGAGCAACGCCGCGUGAGUGAUGAAGGUCUUCGGAUCGUAAAACUCUGUUAUUAGGGAAGAACAUAUGUGUAAGUAACUGUGCACAUCUUGACGGUACCUAAUCAGAAAGCCACGGCUAACUACGUG
rnacentral:rRNA from 1 species